AAAGCAUAGAUGUUGUUCUGAU
rnacentral:precursor_RNA from 1 species